UUACGGCCGUAUCAAGCUGAAACAUUGGUUCCCUUACGAUCACCGAAGCUAAGCAACGUCAAGCCUGGUCAGUACCUAGAUGGGUAACCGCUUAGAAAUACCAGGCGCUGUAAU